GACGAACGCUGGCGGCGUGCCUAAUACAUGCAAGUCGAGCGAGACUCUUCGGAGUCUAGCGGCGGACGGGUGAGUAACACGUGGGCAACCUGCCUGUAAGACUGGGAUAACACCGGGAAACCGGUGCUAAUACCGGAUAAUCCUUUUCCUCUCAUGAGGAAAAGCUGAAAGUCGGUUUCGGCUGACACUUACAGAUGGGCCCGCGGCGCAUUAGCUAGUUGGUGAGGUAACGGCUCACCAAGGCAACGAUGCGUAGCCGACCUGAGAGGGUGAGCGGCCACACUGGGACUGAGACACGGCCCAGACUCCUACGGGAGGCAGCAGUAGGGAAUCUUCCACAAUGGACGAAAGUCUGAUGGGGCAACGCCGCGUGGGCGAUGAAGGCCUUCGGGUCGUAAAGCUCUGUUGUUAGGGAAGAACAAGUACCGGAGUAACUGCCGGUACCUUGACGGUACCUAACCAGAAAGCCACGGCUAACUACGUGCCAGCCGCCGCCGUAAUAC
rnacentral:rRNA from 1 species